AUAGCAGUGAGUGCACGCAGCUGGAUUGCACGACCUGCAGGAGCUGCUGGGACUCGGUCUGCUUGUCACGUUACAGCCAUUCUCCGGGCGAUUUAUUCAGCUGAGUCAGGAAAAGCCGCUGCCUGCUGCUUCUGAGAAACUCUCUGCACCUCAGGAGAGACAGCGCUAAUUAACACAGGUCUAAAUUAGAGCAGAACUAAGGCUAGUGCUUGGAAAACGUGGGGUGAGCAUAAAACCAGGAGGGCUGUGUGCAACCCGCUGAGCUGCCUACAGGUGCCUGAGCUUCAGGCUGUGCUUGGAGCUGGUGGCAGUGCUGCUCCGUGUCGUGCAGGCUCAGUGCGAGCUGCAAAGGCCCUUGCUGCCCUUCUCUGCAAUGCUAAGUGAAACUGGUCUCAGUCAGUCUUGGUCUCCGAACGAGCCCUUAUGAAAGAUGACUGUUGUGUUUCCAUCUGGAGCAGCUGAGCAGCCUGACUUAUGCCUCUGGAAGUCAGUAGAGAGAAAGCCCUGUGCACAUUCACCCCUAACUGCAUCCUGCCCUCCCAGUUUCAAUGGAGCAGUACCAACCCUGCAAAAAGCCAACCCACAAACUCCAAACUGAGGCUGAGAGGAGGAAGAUGAGCGGUUCCCUCAGAGCAGCUGAUGCUGCAGGGGAGCUGCAGGAGUGAUGCACGAAUCUCACAUUGAAAUUUAAGUUUUGGAUCUCAAAAGUAAUAGGGUUCUUCCACUCUGCAAGGACGGCUCAGUGCCUGGGGUUGCUGUGAUGUCAUUCCUUUUGGGAACCUUUUUGGGUGAAGUCAGUGCAGGUGACCUCCACCUCCAUCAGAACACCACUGGUGUGAUCCUGGGCUGCUGGAUUCUCAAUGGCUCGUAGCAGUUUCCCUGUCUGUCCAUCCACAGUGCUCCGUCAGUGUGCUGAGUUACUUCUGAGUGUUGUAAUGCAGCUGAGCCGAAUAAUCCCUGCGGAUAGGAAGAGGAGAUGGAUGCACUCUCCUCAGGAAGAAGAGUCCAAGAGGAUGAUAGCAACGAUCCAGCUGGACCUGCAAGUCAACACCAUUCCCGGAUUUAGCCGAGAACUUUGGCAGUUUUUGAGUUGCUUGGGAUUUUGCCCUGGAUCCUCAGUGUCAGGAAUGGCUGCUGCCCAGAUUUGCAAGGUGUGGUACAGCCACUGCUGCUGAUGCCAAUAGUCAAGGAGAGGGGAAUGAAACCUGCUGAGACUUGGGAAUGAAACAAAUCAGCAUUAAUUAAAAGCAAAUGCUAUCUGUUGACUAAGAGGUUCCAAAGCAGAUGUUUGUCAAAAUCGCCAGGAGAUGGGUCAUCUGAAAGCAGAGGUAAUAAAUAAUGAGAACGAUGUUUCUAGUCAUUUCAUGUUUUCUCAGGUCAAAACCAGGUGUCAGUCAGGGCUGGAAGUAUCACAGAGUGAAACACAUUGUGUUGUUCCACUGCAGGGAGCUCCAUGCCGCCAUCUCUGUGUUUGUGACCCAUGUGCUCAAAGCACUGUGUGCCUACGGACCUGUGGCAGCAUUACAUGCACAGCUGGCAGCGUGCUGGGCAGGCCCUCACAUCACUCCUGCUCCAUCAAAUGGCUCUCUGCAAGUUUAUGCUCAGGUGGAUGCAUGUUGGAAUGGCAUUGGCACUUCUGUGGCUCUCCAUCCCUCUCUGGCAGCAGCACAGAGGAAUUCGGGCAGCUCGCUCUGUUCUGUCCUGGGAUACAUCAAAAGAUGAAGAAACGUCCAGCUGUGAUGCAAACCAGCUUUUCCAGGAGGUGGAAGAGCUGCUCCCUGCUGUAAUAAGAAGAUAAUACCACCACAGAGAUCAAUUCCUGUGCUGGGAGGAGCUGAGUCUGAGCCCCUGCAGGACCCAGGCUGAACUCCUGGCACCUUUGGCACGCGGUGAUCCCUGGGUUUGAUGGACGUCCUAUGGAAGCAGCUGUGACAUGGACAUCAAUAACAAUAUGGGGAGUGCUCCAUGGGCUGAGCUGUGGUAUGUACUGCCAGUGGUGCUGAGAAGAAUGAGCAGUGCUUAACUGCUUAAGCACAGCCUUGGCUACGUGAUGCUGUUGGGAAGGGAGAAGCAGAGGUAGGAUUGUUACAGCAUUCAUCUCUUCAUGCCUUCCAUUGGAAUGAAGCUGUGCUCUCACUUGGACCAGAGUUCAUAGCGAUGCUACUUAAAGAGAGGCAGUGACACGGGCAAUGCCACGGCUGUUUGCAUCCGUGCAGAGUAGCUACAUGAGGCAGAGGCCAGGAGAAAGAGAAUGGGACUGUGAUGGAGCCAGCAGGGAUGCCAGGCUGUCCUCUGAGCCUGAAUGGAGCACUUCUGGGAAAGGAAAGUGCAGCAUUGGGAACAGAGAAGGUGCCUCCCAGGGCCCUCUGGCCCUUUUGCCCCACUGUGCAUCAGCAUUCAGAGCAGCAGCUGAAUUUAAGUUGUUUAAGCUGUCACCUGCUGAACUCUGCAGAAGUUGCAGCCCAAAACAUUUAUGAUUAUCGGAGUCAGCAGAGCAUUGUGUGUAACCUGAGUCCUGCUAGGACCAGGUCAAAACCUGGUCAGUGCUCAGGCAUCUCUCUGGCAUCCCAUCCCCACAGCCCCACGAGAGGGGAUUGGAUUUCAAACGCACUGUGUGUCGUCUUUAAAAGACAUAAUACAAAUAAUUGGCACCCCAGGACCAGGCGUCUGCGUGGGGAAGGAGGGGAGCAGAGCUCAUCUGAUCAAAGAUGCCCCAGCCGCCUCGCCGAGCCACGUCCCUCAGGAAGGAGCCUGGAAAGACCAAUUUUCACAGAUCUCAGCACCAGGAAAUGGGCAUUUCAUCAUGAGUUGAGUCAUGGAGAGGAGGGCUCGGCCGAGCUGCUGCUGCUAAAGCAGAGACAAAUGUAAUUUAUUACCCUGCGUCCUGCUGAGGCUUGGGGAACUCAGGAGGAACAAGCAAUGCUAAGGAGCCCUGGCCCCCAAGGAGGCCUUUUGGAGAGUGACUAAUCGAGAUGGGGUGUUCUCAUCCAUCCGAGCAUGCUCCAUCCUUUCACAGAUUGGUGUCACAAAGCAAACAGCACAGAGGUGCAGGGAGAAGGGCCGUUCUGACCUGAAAGUCAGGGCACCCAGCUCUUCUCGCAGCUCCUGUAGGUGCUUCUGUCACUCAGCAGCUCACUUCGUCUUCUCCUCUCUCAGUUCCCCAUCUGUCAGAGCAGCACAGCACAUUCAGGUGCCAUAAGGAAAUAACACAUUCCUGGGGGCACCCCCUCUCCAGGCAGAGGCUGUGCUGUUGGUGCCUAUUUUGGAUUAGCAGAGCAGAGAGGCGAUGCUCGGAGAUGAAUAUGCAACGUUGCAGGAGUGAUUUUACGUCCGUGCACCUACUGUAAGGCUGAUGCUCCUGUACUGUCACUGCAGGGGGGUCAUUAACAGUUCUGAGAUGUGCUCAGGGUUUUCAGUGGUUCUCAGAUGGUAUCAAGGACACACGGUGCUCAGAAAUGAGCAAAACCAGAAGAAGAUGGUGGAAAAAAGUAAGGAAAUUGUGGAACUGGAAAGCUGUGUUCCCCUUAAGGAGCACUUCACAGAACAGGUAGUUGCUGUCAAAAUGCUUUAAGCUUCACCAACACAAAUUCCAUGUUGUUGCUGGUUUCAUAAUACAUUGCUCAGUGAAAACAUAAACGAGCUGAUUUGAGAAAUAUUUCAUCCACAUGAAAGACAGUUUGGUAAACAAAAACACAAGUGAAUAUUUUAUUAAUGCUUUUGAUAAAGAUGUGAACGCGGAGUGAUAUCGUGCAGUGAAUGAAUGAACUUAUUAAAAAAUUAAGAGGGAAGGAGGAAUGUGGGUCAAUUUUAUCAACGCAGGAACAGCUUCAGUCACGUUUGUCUCACAGAGACGAGAUUUCAUUUUUGAACUGUUGCGAUCAUAAACAUUCCCGAGGAGCACAAACUCACUUUCAUUUCCUCUCACGCUGCUUCGUAUUGGCUGAAAGCUCACAGCCCUCUGAAGCUGAGCAUCCCUUUGUAUUCACAAAUGUCUCAGCUGGGGGUGCACUGCUGUCCUGCCAGCGCUGGGCAGUGAGAUUUGUGCCAUGCAUGCAGUGUGUGCUGUGUCAGCACGGUGCUCGAUGUACAACACAAGGAAUGGUCCCAUUUGCAACGCUGAUCCAUCCAGCCCAGGGCUGGGAGUAGCAGUGCAUGCUCAGAGCUGUGCCUCCUCCUCCAGCACUGCAUUCCACGUCAUCCAUCCCCACUGUGCCACAGCGUUACAUCAACAGGCGACUGAAAUCACACUUGAAAAUUAAUUUCCCACAGAGGUUUGGCCAACAGCUGACAGGUGACAGAUUGCUCCGUUGGUUGUGCACGUAUUGGUUCUGCCCUAACGUGAAAUGGAGGUCUUGGAGCAAUGUCUUUUUGGUUUUCUUUCCUUUUAUUAAACCUGUAAUUCCACCAUGUCAAAAAUUACAGCCAUCGGUCGGUGCUGCACAGAAUCCUCUGUGCUCAUGGUGAGCCCACAGCUCCAGGACCAGCAGGAUUAUGUCCCACUCAUUAACUGGGCAGGAAGAUCUGAUGAGCUCAGGGUUCAACCCGUGCAUCUCUGCUGCUCCUGGGAUGGAGCCUGGAUGUCUGCAUGGCAUUGCACGGGGACACGCAGGCACCGCUGCUGAGAGCGAAGUUAGCUCUGAAAGAAAGGACAAAGAGAUUCAGUUCCAUCCUCUUCUUUCAUCUAAAACAAAACAGGAGAAAAAAAAAAACAGUGUUAGAAUGAAACAGGCUUAUUAAAUUGUGCUCCAACCUGACCCUGAGGGAUUCACUCAUUGCCCUGAGCUCUGUGCUGGGACUCAGAAGACAGCCCCACGGAUGUGGCAUUAGUGGGAGCAAUGGCAGAGUGAGGGCUGUUGUUGUGCCAGGCCUGCAGAGAGAACAGACAGCUUGGCUGAGAGCAGAUCUUUCUCAGAGGCCCAGCUCCAGCUGCCCAUGGAAGCCAAGGAAGUCUGUGCGAGAUGUCAGUAUUUGAGGAAUUGCCAUUGCAGAGAUGAGGGUGCCUGGUGAACACCAGCAUCCCUUGUUCUGUGCGGCACAGCAGGGGGAGAGUUAACGUGACCUAGAAGCAGAAACGAAGGCUUUCCUUUUUCAUUCUUUGGCAUGCGUGUUUCUUGCUUCUCUGAGUAUUUGCAUGACCAUAAAUUCAGAGCUCUGGAGGAUAUUUUCAGCCAAAGACUACAUGUGCAGGAUACCAUAAUGUAAACUGCAUAUGUUGUGAGAAGUUGUUAAAUGGAACCAGCAGAUGAUAAUGUGCCCAGCAUUGCUGCUAACAUCACUCGAUUUCCUCCCACCGUAGGUAAAACAAGCCCUUUUCCCAAUCAAUUCCAAUCCUCAGACAGGCCCAUAAAUUAACAUGAGGAAGAGAAUGUUUUUGGCUACCAGACCUCCACUGGAGACCCAGGAGUUGGCCCCUGCUUUCAAGAGCAGCUCUGGUUCUGAGGAGAUGCAGACAAAUGGCCUUCGUCUGCCAUUUCCCAUCUCUGUGCUCUGCCUUGCAGGCAAUGACACGUGUUGGAAAAAUUCUGGCACAGCCCAGGACAUCUGCCAUCUUCCCAGCCUCUUUCCCACUCCUUUUCCAGAGUGGCUGAUCCCCUUUCUGUGUGGGUUUUAGGGCUAAUGGGAGCUGCAGCGUUUCCUCCUGGCUUGAGGACAUGCAGCUGUUGAAAUCACACAGGGAAAGCAGCAAAACUCCAUCAGCUCCAUCAGGAAUCAGGGCUGGAGUGGACAGGACACUGACAUUCUCCCUGGCAAAACAUCUGGAAGUCCUAUGGGGUUGUUUUUGUUCUUGUUUGGAAGUCUGAAAUGUGGAUCAGGCAAAGAUUACUGUGAGAUUUUCUUAUGGAGCAGCAAUGCAAUAUCGUAACGCUCUUGGUGAUCUCAGCAUUGCAUUCUGUGCCUUUUGGUGUAGAAGGAGCAAAAGGUUCCUGCAAAGAGGGAAAGCCAUCACCAGCAGCUGCUCCCCAAGCCAGUUGCAGUGCUGGAGCUUAGUCUGACAAAUAACCAACAGAUUUUCUCUCUGAUGGUCCUCAACCCAACUACUGGUGCCUCUCAGAUCCAAAUUUUGGGGCAGUAUUCACGUUGCCUGUCUACCUGGAUGGAGCCCAAUGCUCAGCAGUACGGUGUGGUGAAAUGCACAGCUGGAUGGGGGCUGAAAGCUGCCCAAUCCUCAGCCCCACACCAGCAGAUCUGUCUGCUUCAAAGGAGGUUGUAUACCUUGCUAAAUAACGUUCAUACCCAGAAGUGUAACACUGAACAGGGACCAAACAUACUGCGCAAGCAUAGGGCUGGAGUUUG